CCUCAAUCUCCUUGUGCUGUUGGCGACCCUCUUCCUUGUAAGUGCAGGUUGGGUCUUAGCUGACAAUUUGGAGAAAACUCCAGUCGAUGAACUUCGUGAAAGGGGAUUCCAGGUCACUGACGGCUGUGUAAACCACAAGCAUGGAGACCAGUGGGCAUCUACCACAAAGGGGCUGAACUGUGCAUGCUCCAGGGGGCGCAGCCUCUGCUACCCCGUGACCUGUCUGCCAGACACUCGCCUCGCUGUAUUCAAGGGCCGCUGGGACUGUGUCUUCGACGACGACGACGAAUAUGACAAGCA